CUCUCUCCAGAGUUAUCAGUCUCUCUCCAGUAUCAGUGCAUCUUCAGACUUACCCAGCAUCGUUGUCCGUCCUCUUCAGUACUUUGGAGAUGUGAGUAAGACUGUGUCUGAACUGAGAGAGAAACUAGAAGACUUCCUUAAAGGAGAAUGGACCAAGAUCUCCACUACAGUGAAUAUAGUGGAUGUUGUACUGCCUCCAGAGCCCAAGACCAGAGAACAGUUGUUACAAUUAUCAUUGAUCAGCGUGUUGGCUCGGUCCUAAUUGAUGUGUUCUCUGUCACCUGGAGCUGCAUGGAAAAUGGUCCAGGAACUAAAGGACAAUUCAGGACUAGUCAGCCCACUACAAGCUGGUAUCACUUACUUUCUACUAAACUAUAUGGUCUGGUUUCCCAGACACAGAUGAAUCCUAGUCCUGGACUAAACAGUAUGUUCAAUGUAGAUGUCCAGGAAACCGGCCCUAAAUGUGUCAUCUUUCAUCCUCCCAUACUGCUCAGUCCAGCAACAUUAAACCUGUCCAGCAGGUGGUGCUGUUGACCAAACAAUAAAACCAGCAGAUAUCUUGACUUGCCACUCAGUAUAUCAGUAAUGUUCAGAAUAGUACUUUAAUAUCAUUGGAGAUUGAUGGUCUUUUUAAUCCACUAUCCAGAGUCAGGAACAGAUGAAGUUAGGUCUGCUACUGUUCAGUGAUUAAAUAUGAUUUAUGGUGAUGGGAAAUAAUAAAAAACACU